rnacentral:rRNA from 1 species
CCCUGGCUCAGAACGAACGCUGGCGGCAGGCUUAACACAUGCAAGUCGAGCGCCCCGCAAGGGGAGCGGCAGACGGGUGAGUAACGCGUGGGAAUCUACCCUUUUCUACGGAAUAACGCAUGGAAACGUGUGCUAAUACCGUAUGAGCCCUUCGGGGGAAAGAUUUAUCGGGAAAGGAUGAGCCCGCGUUGGAUUAGCUAGUUGGUGGGGUAAAGGCCUACCAAGGCGACGAUCCAUAGCUGGUCUGAGAGGAUGAUCAGCCACAUUGGGACUGAGACACGGCCCAAACUCCUACGGGAGGCAGCAGUGGGGAAUAUUGGACAAUGGGCGCAAGCCUGAUCCAGCCAUGCCGCGUGAGUGAUGAAGGCCCUAGGGUUGUAAAGCUCUUUCACCGGUGAAGAUAAUGACGGUAACCGGAGAAGAAGCCCCCGGCUAACU